ACAUUUGCAAAGUCCUCAUGGACCAAGUUUUGUUUACUUUGUUUCUGGGCCGUGCUGGAUGUAAGCUUGGGAGGCAUUGGGAGAAUGGUAUAUGCUUGUUUCUUCCACAAGUCAAGCUGAGCUCGGCUCGGUUGACGAACGGAGGAGGUUCAAACGGCCACAAUCACAUACAACGGGAGGGCAUGGCAGAGCUGAAUCGAAGGUGAGGCGGCGGCCGAUGGCUGGAACAGGUCUUUCUGUUGGCAGAUUGUUUUUGCAAGGGCAUAGAAAUAUCGCAUCGCUCUGAUGGCUGAGAAGGCAUAUUGAGGGCUUGAGGCCUUGAUACAUGGAGCGAUAUGAUCCUUUUGUAAUUUUUUUUAGUUACAGUUCGGUUUUAUUUUUAGAAACACACAGUAUAACUUGGUAUAUGGAGCGAUAUGAUGU
rnacentral:lncRNA from 1 species